ensembl:antisense 4930430E12Rik RIKEN cDNA 4930430E12 gene
UUUGUUCUAGAACACACACGCCUGAAAGCGCUAGUUAUAGCAACAGGAUUGUAAACAUUUUGUUAAACAAUUGACCACCUAAAACAUCUCCUAGCUGCCUUGGGGGUGAGCCCACCCAUUGGAUGAGACACUGCAUGACGAGACACUGCGCAGUGACAGCAGCAGGAGUGCCUGUUGAGAUGAGGACUCCCAGCAGGAAGGCUAAGCUGUAUUAGCCCAUUUGAAACAAGAUUCCUGUGACAGAAAAUAAAAAGAAGCAAUCAAUAAUGUGCAAGGAUGAGUCUUCCACUAGCAGCCUUUGGAUGAAGACAUAGAACUCUCAGCUCUGCCUGUGCCAUGACAGCCUGGAUGCUGCCAUGCUCCCACCUUGANNNNNNUAUAAGACUUACCUUGGUCAUGGUGUCUGUUCUCAGCAUAAAACACUAACUAAGACAAGGGCCAGUCUCUCUGAAAUAUACAGAAGGUAGUGAUUCCCUGCAUUGGUUCAUAGAACUUCUUAGGUUGCUUUGCCCAUGGCUCACUGACUUGUGUUUCACUGGUCUCAUGUGGAAGGGCAGGGUGUUGCCAACACUGAAAAAGAUCACAUUCUUGGAAUGUAGUGACUAUGGCCUAGAAUUCAGGAGAAUUUGUACAAGACAUAUUUUUCUAAAUUUAUGUUACAAAAUUGUGAACAGUACAUUUAGCAUGACCAGAAAGGAAGUCAUUUUUUCUUCACCUUAAGAUUAAGUUGGUUGUUGAGACUCAGUGAAGCAUAGUGGGAACCACUGGGAGCCAGGCAUGGAACAAUUCUGUGAUGUAACUGAUAUUGUGUUCAUGGUAAAUAGAGCCCAGUGGAUUAC